rnacentral:misc_RNA from 1 species
UCUCCGUUGGUGAACCAGCGGAGGGAUCAUUACAGAGUUGCAGAACUCCCAAACCAUUGUGAACGUUACCUAGCCCGUUGCUCUGGCGGGCGGCCCGGGCCCCGCGCCCGGCGCCCCCCGGCCCCCCGUGGGCGCCCGCCGGAGGUAAACCAAACCCUUGAAUUGCAUGGCCUCUCUGAGUCUUCUGUACUGAAUAAGUCAAAACUUUCAACAACGGAUCUCUUGGUUCUG